rnacentral:rRNA from 1 species
UACGUAGGUGGCAAGCGUUUUCCGGAAUUAUUGGGCGUAAAGCGCGCGCAGGCGGUUUCUUAAGUCUGAUGUGAAAGCCCACGGCUCAACCGUGGAGGGUCAUUGGAAACUGGGAAACUUGAGUACAGAAGAGGAGAGUGGAAUUCCACGUGUAGCGGUGAAAUGCGUAGAUAUGUGGAGGAACACCAGUGGCGAAGGCGACUCUCUGGUCUGUCACUGACGCUGAGGCGCGAAAGCGUGGGGAGCAAACAGG